AACUUUGUUGUUAAGCAGCGUGCUAAAAUUUCAAGAAGUGGGAUUGUGUCUUGGAUUUUGUAAUAGAGUACACAGAAGAAAAGUAGCUGCAUUGGACCCUAAACACUGGGUGUGGUGAACCUCUUUCUUAAUGUCCAGUGUCUUAAUAUUUGGUGAAAUGUAU